CACACUGUUUGAAGUACUGUGUCCUAUUUUAUGGCUGUCCUUAUUUUCGGUCUGAUUACAAUCUACUGCUUGCAUUGCAGAUGUUGGAAAUUGGACGAAUCUCUCGUGGUAUCUCCCUGUUUGGUCAGCACAAACAGAGCGUUUCCUCAGCCGUGCACUGGAGAAAGACUUGGAUCAUCCCUGUUUGUCCCAUGCAGUGGCUCAUCGGAUGUUUCUAGAGAAGCUUCUGCGAUGUCCUUCCUUCAACAAACCUUGCACUGGGGGCACCUGGACUGGCAGCUUUGCUGAUGGAAAGAAAAUGCUGUCUGGAUGGCUGGUUCCCAUGGAGAGCAAGGAAUGUGGCUCCUCCAGUUCAUCCGGGACUCUCUUCCCACAUCGGUUGCUAAUGAAGGAGAGUGUUGUGUUUCAAGGUAAGAUUUGUUUCUCCUCUUGGCUGCAAGAGAUAAAUAAACAGUUCACAAGAGAGGACUUUGCGUUACGUUCUCUCCAUGUUCUCUUGCAUACGAAUGUGGCUCCAGAGACGUGGAGGACAAGGGCAGCCUGAAAUGGCUUUGCAAACUGCCUUCUUCAGCUCAGCUAUAGUUAUUUAUCCCAUUUUCUUCUUUAAAAAAAAUAUAUAUAUUUAAAAAGAGAGAAAAUCCCCCUCCCCUCUAAGCUAGAAUUAGCAGUUGAAUUUUCUUUUAUGUGCAUUUCUUUUCUGAGCAGCCUGAUGGAGCUGUAGGUGUCCCUGUUCACUGCAGGGGAGUUGGACUGGAUGGCUUUUUGUGUCCCUUCCAACUCGAACCACUCUGAGUCCAUGUUUCUAAAAAGUGGGACUUCCUCUGUGGGGUGAAGUACCUUGAAUGCAUCUUGACUUGUCGGACCAUGCACAUUUGUCUGGAUUUUCCUUGGGUAACAAAGAAGGACCUAUCAAGUUCUUAGGCUUCCAGGCUUUUUCAUGGUCCCAGCAGCUGGGAUGCCACCUCCUACCUGUAGGUUGUGUGCCCUGGGAUCAAUAGAGAUGCACCAGCAUAGGUAACAUUGUUCUGGGAUAUAGUUGUCUUGCUUUAUCUGAUGCCAAGGUCUGUGCAGUCCUGGUGGUGGGGGGAGAUGUAUGACAUCAAGGUCUAAGAAGCUGUCUGUUCCACCUCCUUCUCAGCCAGACCUCAGCCCCCCCGCUGCAGUAAUCCAGAUGCAAUCAGUCUGGCACUUUCAAAUAUUUAUGAAUCCUUGAUGGAUAUUUUUUUGAGGUUUGAAGUUGUAGCUUUCAUGGAAUCUGGUUUGAUUAGCUUGAAAGUCAAUAUUUUCAUUGUGCUGUGUCUGAGCUGCAUUAAUUCCGGCGCAGACAGCAGCAGUAUCAGUGCUGCAGCACUAAUGGCUCUCUGCAUUCACCGACUGGUGCUUGUGUAGUCUGGGAUGAGUUUGGGGCAUGUGGAGAUGCCUUGAUGAGAAGCUAGGAAGGCAGUCCAGCUCGUGGUGGAAAUUGGCAGAGGCAGGCAAGGAAAAGGCUCCCGGUGAUGUUUGGGAAUCUGCAAGAUGAGGCACUGAGGCUGCCUUUCUUUGUA
ensembl:lncRNA